rnacentral:rRNA from 1 species
GACGAACGCUGGCGGCGUGCCUAAUACAUGCAAGUCGAACGCUGAAGGAGGAGCUUGCUUCUCUGGAUGAGUUGCGAACGGGUGAGUAACGCGUAGGUAACCUGCCUGGUAGCGGGGGAUAACUAUUGGAAACGAUAGCUAAUACCGCAUAAGAGUAGAUGUCGCAUGACAUUUGCUUAAAAGGUGCAAUUGCAUCACUACCAGAUGGACCUGCGUUGUAUUAGCUAGUUGGUGAGGUAACGGCUCACCAAGGCAACGAUACAUAGCCGACCUGAGAGGGUGAUCGGCCACACUGGGACUGAGACACGGCCCAGACUCCUACGGGAGGCAGCAGUAGGGAAUCUUCGGCAAUGGACGGAAGUCUGACCGAGCAACGCCGCGUGAGUGAAGAAGGUUGUCGGAUCGUAAAGCUCUGUUGUAAGAGAAGAACGAGUGUGAGAGUGGAAAGUUCACACUGUGACGGUAGCUUACCAGAAAGGGACGGCUAACUACGUG